rnacentral:rRNA from 1 species
GGCAGCAGUGGGGAAUCUUCGGCAAUGGGCGAAAGCCUGACCGAGCAACGCCGCGUGAAUGAUGAAGGCCUUCGGGUUGUAAAAUUCUGUUAUAAGGGAAGAACGACUUUAGUAGGAAAUGGCUAAAGUGUGACGGUACCUUAUGGGAAAGCCACGGCUAACUACGUGCCAGCAGCCGCGGUAAUACGUAGGUGGCAAGCGUUAUCCGGAAUUAUUGGGCGUAAAGAGCGCGCAGGUGGUUGAUUAAGUCUGAUGUGAAAGCCCACGGCUUAACCGUGGAGGGUCAUUGGAAACUGGUCGACUUGAGUGCAGAAGAGGGAAGUGGAAUUCCAUGUGUAGCGGUGAAAUGCGUAGAGAUAUGGAGGAACACCAGUGGCGAAGGCGGCUUCCUGGUCUGUAACUGACACUGAGGCGCGAAAGCGUGGGGAGCAAACAGGAUUAGAUACCCUGGUAGUCCACGCCGUAAACGAUGAGUGCUAAGUGU